ensembl:lncRNA
CUACUCGAAAAAAUUUAUCCUGACAUGUAGUCUUUGAUCCCAAUAUUAAAGAAUUACAGUAGAUGGCUAUUUUCUACCUUUGUCGUAAAAUGGAGGUAUAGUCCUUUGUGCAGCAGGCGAAGUUCCAACCUUGCUGAUAGCAAUUAUCUCAAAUUGGUAGGCUGAGUGAGACAGGAUCAGCGUGAGUAAGGGGUGGCUUGUGUUAAAGGUCUCAGUGGUCUCCCCUCCUGACUUCUUCACAGUCACCCUGUAGCCUUCAGAUACUUCACUGGCUGCAAACUGGCAAUGGUAGGAUUAAAAGUCCAGUAGAUAUACACCCAUAAAACACCAUAUUGUUUGCUUUGGUUUGAUUUUGGUAUAGAGGAAUAAAUGUAAAAAGGUGUAAAUGAUGUAGAAAGAAUCGGCACACACAACACUUGCCACAUGUUCAAUGAGCGUGUGGAGGGAGGUUUCUUGAAAUGGAACAUCCAAUAGAAAUAUUAACACAGAGAACCAGAGAUCCAUUCAGAAUUUGUCACUGACAGUAUUAAAUGAUGCAAAAUCAAUUAUAUGUGGUACCUUCUCUCUUUUAAAUAGUUUGUUUUAGGACUGUAUCAACACAUCAGUAAUGAAACAAAUGAGAAAAGCUAGUACAGUUGUGCUCAAAAGUUUGCAUCCCCUUGGAGAAUUGGUAAUAUAUGUACCAUUUGUAAAGAAAACAUGAGUGAGCAAGCAAAACAUUUUAUUUCUUAUGGGAUUCACAUUCAACUGUAUGUCAUAACAGAAUGGCACAAUCAUAAAACAAAACAUGGCUACAAAUAAUUUAUUUUACUGGCCCCUGUUCAAAAUUGUGCUUUUUUUUUGUUCAUACCCUUAGUUCUUAAUACCAUGUAUUGCCCCCUUUAGAAUCAAUGACAGUGUGCAGUCUUUUGUAAUAGUUGUUUAUGAGGUCCCGAAUUCUUGCAGGUGGUAAAGCUGCCCAAUCGUCUUGGCAAAAUGCUUCCAGGUCAUGCAAGGUCUUUGGUCAUCUUGCAGACAGACCAGAGUGGCUCGAAGAUAUUAAGGUCAGGAGACUGUGAUGGCCACUCCAGAACCUUCACCUUUUUCUGCUGAAACCACUGGAGGGUCAACUUGGCCUUGUGCUUAGGGUCAUUGUCAUGCUGGAAAGUCCAAGAGCGUCCCAUGUGCAGCUUUUGUGCAGAAGAAUGCAAAUUGUCUGCCAGUUUUUCUGAUAACAUGCUGCAUUAUCUUUCCAUACAUUUUCACAAGAUUCCCCAUGCCUUUAGAGCUCACAAACCCCCAAAACAUCAGUGAGCCACCACCAUGCUUCACAGUGGGGAUGGUAUUCUGUUCACUAUAGGCCUUGUUGAACCCUCUCCAAACAUUCAUCACUCCAAAUUACAGUGUGCCAGAAGCUGUGUGGCAUUUCAAGGUGUUGUCAGGCAUAUCGUAACCGGGCUUUUUUGGGUCAUUGGUGCAGUAAAGGCUUCUUUCUGGCAACUCGACCAUUCAGCCAAUCUUUGCUCAACUAUCAUUGUAUUGGGCUCCUUGAAACAACCACACUGUCUUUUUCCAGAGCAGCCUGUAUUUCCCCUGAGAUUUCCAGUGGGUUUUUCUUUGUAUCCCGAACAAUUCUUCUGGGAAUUUUGCCUGAAAUCGUUCUUGGUCUACCUGACCUUAGCUUGGUAUCAAGAGAUCCGUGAAUUUUCCACUUCUUAAUAAACGAUUGAACAAUACUGACUGGCAUUCGCAAGGCUUCAGAUAUCUUUUUAUAUUCUUUUCCAUCUAUAUAAAGUUCCAUUACCUUGUUACGCAGGUCUUUUUUUCUGCUCCCCAUGGCUCAGUAUCUAGCCUGCUCAGUGCAUCAACGUAAGAGCUAACAAACUCAUUGACUAUAUAAAGACUAACUGCAAUGCCACAGGUCUGGGAAAUUCACCUGUAAUUGCCAUUUUCACCAGUGUGUGUCACCUUGUGUGUCUGUAUCAAGGCCAAACAUUCAAGGGUAUGUAAACAGUUGAUCAAGGCCAUUUGGCUGAUUUCUGUUAUCAUUAUGAUAUAAAAAGGAACCAAACAACUAUGUGAUAAUGAAUGGCUUCAUAUGAUCACUAUCCUUAAAUAUAUAUAUAUUUUUUUUUUUGCAUGAUCAGUCAUAUUUUCAAAAUCAAUGCCAAAAGUUAACAAUUUCUGCCAAAGUUAACAAUUUCCACAACUAUAUGUUCCUUUUCUAUCAAAACACUUGAUUUUUGAAAUAAAUAAUUCUAAUCCAAAAAUAUAAUUCCAUGUUUUGAGAUGAGGGAAUGGAGUGUGAUGUAUUAAAGUUAUGGUUCAAAAUAUAAAAAAGAAUAAUAAUAAUAACAAAAACGAUACACAGGUUGGGAGCCACCAGGCCACUUAGAAGCAAGUGGAAGAAGCCAUUCUCUUGUGUAGCAUGUUUUAUGGAUGACUUAUUGGGGAACAAGAAACCAGUUUUGGAGCUACAUGUUUAGAUUGCAGGUGGCUAAUGUGGACAUUGAAUAAGAGUGAGCUGUCAAGAUACCAAGAUAUUUGAAGGUGAUGCCAUACUCCAACUUAGUCCCAUCCAGGGCAAGUCCGAUCCCUUAGUCCCACCCUGGGCAAGUCCCAUCUCUUAGUCCCACCCAGGGCAAGUCCGAUCCCUUAGUUCCACCCAGAACAAGUCCCAUCUCUUAGUCCCACCCAGGGCAAGUCCUAUCCCUUAGUCCCACCCAGGGCAAUCCCAUCUCUUAGUCCCACCCAGGGCAAGUCCGAUCCCUUAG